CAGGAUGAACGCUAGCGGCAGGCCUAACACAUGCAAGUCGCGGGGCAGCACGGGUAGCAAUACCUGGUGGCGACCGGCGCACGGGUGCGUAACGCGUAUGCAACCUGCCCCCAUCAGGGGAAUAGCCCGCCGAAAGGCGGAUUAAUGCCCCAUAGGCCCAGGGCGCCGCAUGGCGCUAUGGGUAAAGCUCCGGCGGAUGGGGAUGGGCAUGCGUGCCAUUAGCUAGUUGGGGCGGUAACGGCGCACCAAGGCGACGAUGGCUAGGGGGUCUGAGAGGAUGGUCCCCCACACUGGUACUGAGACACGGACCAGACUCCUACGGGAGGCAGCAGUGAGGAAUAUUGGUCAAUGGGCGGAAGCCUGAACCAGCCCAUGCCGCGUGCAGGAUGACGGCCCUACGGGUUGUAAACUGCUUUUCCCCGGGAAGAAUAAGCCCCUCGUGGGGGGUGAUGCCGGUACCGGGGGAAUAAGGAUCGGCUAACUCCGUGCCAGCCGCCGC
rnacentral:rRNA from 1 species